rnacentral:rRNA from 1 species
UACGAAGGGGGCUAGCGUUGCUCGGAAUCACUGGGCGUAAAGCGCACGUAGGCGGCUUCUUAAGUCAGGGGUGAAAUCCUGGAGCUCAACUCCAGAACUGCCUUUGAUACUGCGGAGCUUGAGUCCGGGAGAGGUGAGUGGAACUGCGAGUGUAGAGGUGAAAUUCGUAGAUAUUCGCAAGAACACCAGUGGCGAAGGCGGCCAACUGGUCCGAUACUGACGCUGAGGCGCGAAAGCGUGGGGAGCAAACAGG